CACGCAUCGAUGCAGGACUUUCUAGAGGCUCCACAAAUACUCACAGCAUCUAUUCAAUGACAUUGCGUUAUGCAUAACGGCACACGAAAGCUUCGAGACUCAGCUGCGUUAGUUACGCCAACUUCGAAAAGUAAACAGGAAGCUGCCAUGGCACUUUUUGCAGGAAGCAGGUGGCGCUUCGUGCAUCAGAAACCGAAACAGAAACUAGCAAAGCCAAUCUUUUUUUUUUUUUUGUAAGCGUUAAUCUCGUUUUCAGCGCUCGGAAGUUAUUCUAUUAGUUUGUUGCAGGGCGUCCGUGUCAUUGAAAGAUUCAGUCCCAGUUUAAAUAGUUUAAAUUCUUCAAACAGUUUGUAUUUUUUGCACCGCCACUACACAGAAGCGUUUUAUAACGAUUUUUAUUGAUAAAUCGAUAUGUGGCCAUUGUUUAUUGCGUUUUGAAGAGCACUCGCUUCGUCUUUCCAACAAGACGCGUAGGUUCGGCGCUCCGAUUUGCAUUUAAGCUGUCAUCUUCUCGGAAGCAGGCGCUCAUGCUUGGAGACCUGCAGAGCACGAACUGCAGCAUGUAUGCCGAAAUAAACAGCUAUUGCCUAUUUAAAAUAGAACCAAUGUGUGGCGAGCCCGGGAGACAGCAAGAGCCACAGGAGUCCUGGACUAAGGGCGCCUCCCACACAAGCAGAAAGACACCCGCUUUUCCUUUAUUUUUUUUAAUAAAUGUUUUUCCUUCUC